CAGACCCAGGUGAAGGUGAAGGCCACCGCCGUGCCCAGCAGCAACCGGAGAACACUGCGACGGCCACCUACGAUCGGCUCGUAGAUGUAGCUGCAGGCACAGGUGACACAGUUAUAGCAACGAGCAGGAUAAGACAUUAUGCGGCAUCUAGCACUGCGAAGUCAGGUGAGAUAUCUGAGCUAGACUACACCGCGUGCACCGUAUACACCGUUGUACGCAGCAGCAGGGGUGACCUACGACAUUCCUCCUCCUGUGAGAGACAGUUACGGCACUGCACUUAUCUCUUCCAUUUCUCUUUAAAAAUCACUUCACACACACAUUCCAUCAUCUUCCACCAUCUACGGCAUUCCAUUCCGAAAUCGCACCAUGUGGUCCCAGCUUCAGUCUACUACAUCUUACACUAUUCUUUUCAAGCGAAGCCUCUAUUGGCUCCCAAGUGGUCCUGCGAAAAAAAAAACAAGCCAGUUGCUCCUAGAGCAGAGCACCUGCGGGAACGGGUGGUUUGAUGAGUUGACAGCAGCGCCGGCGGCCGAGCGUGAGUCAUUAGCAAGGAUUCCAGACGCAUAGGCGUGCGCUUACACCACGCGCGCAACCAAUCACAGCCGUUUCGCUUCGACAGGAGAGGGAAAGGGCAGGAAACGGCGUCGCGCGUGCUACGCCGCAAUCGUUGCCAUUCAAUUCAGUAUCGAAAAACGGAUGGGACAGCCACACGUUGUGCGUUCCCCUGAGGAACGGGCAGCCUUCGACGAGUGGCGGCGAGAACUCGCCCGUGAAAGGGCUCGCCGUCGGUACGGCCGCCCGAGCUCAGGCAAUCCGACAGCAACGAGAAGAUGCCGAGCUGACAUAGCGGAAGGCCGAAGUGAUCCCGUACUGUUGCCUGUGGGUUACAUAACCGUGACGAAGGUCAGGAUCAGGAUUUGACUCAAUAUCACUUUCAAAUAACAACAGCAAUCGGAGUUAAUCAAGUACCACAUGCGAUACAAGAAUCAUCAAUGGGCACGGAAGCAUCAGCAAACAUUGGCUUCUUCUAGAUGGAAAAGAUUUAUCAUGCUGCCUUGCCAUCUGCGUAAAGAGAAUUUGAUUGUGAAGCAGCCGCAUGUUCUGGAAGCUGCCGUGCCCGGAUUAUGCCUGAAGGUUGAGUUUAUAAAUUCAGUUUUGCUGGUUUCAAGAGGAAAUGGCCUACACUGUACCUGAAAGAGUUAGCCCUGCCUAGAUGAGUGUUUGUUGAUUUCGUUCGGCAAACCCCUUUCUGAUUUGGUUUUAAAGAAUCAUCAGUGUUCUGAUGUCAGUACACAAACAGCGUGCGGCGGCCCGCCGGGUGCAUAAAAACAACGCCCCAAGAAAAUAAAGCGGGCUUUCUUCCUUUUUGGCAUUA